CUGGUGUGGUAACAGCUAGACCUCUGCUUCUCUGCAGUCCUGCUUCUAAGCAGAUUUCUCAGAUCUCCUUGUUUUUCUUCCCUUCCUUGUUGAUCAACCUUCACUGAAGGAAGUCGUAGAAUCUCUCUGGUCUCUGUUUUCACUCAUGUCAUGUUCAGAGGAAUUUGGAAACUCCAGCCUCAACGCCUCAGCCCUGAGCCUCCACUCUGCUUUCAACUCCAAACCCAGCUUCUCAGGAGUUACUUAAGAACCACCCAUCAACCUGCCUGUCCACCCUCCAACGUUAACUCUCCAACCAUAGUGGAGUUUCCUGGAAGAGAAGAAACAAAGCAUUUCAUCUACCAAAAACUGUUCACAGCCUGUGAGCCUCAAGCCACCGUGGAAAAGGACUUAUUUCCACCUGGUCUUUCCAAGAACUCAACACCUAGAGGAACCUGCAUGGGUGCAGUCCGGUACAUCAAUUGACGCUGUUUGGAGACAGCAGAACAUCUGGCCAAGAACCCCCGGGACUAUGAAUCUGUGCUGUUGGCAUGAGGAGUUUCUUAGAGAGGGAUUUUUCGACCCUCCAGAUACAGUCUCCGUUGGAGGUCCUCCACCCUCAUCAUUUCAAGCUCCAGUGCCAGUUCUUGGUUUUCCAGCAGCUUCUCUGGUCUCACCUGCAGUUUCUCAGGAUUCCCGCCAGCUUCAGUCCUGGUUCCAGUCCGAGCUUUAUCCAUGUUUCUUAAUAAACUGUUAAAACGC